rnacentral:lncRNA from 1 species
UCUUACGAAGUUCCUCGGCCUCUGCCCUUCAGCCUUGUCUCGGUACUUGGAGAUUGCCUCUACAUGCUCCACCUCCUCGGCCCCUUUCACGACCAAGUGCUCUCCCUCCAUGAGAGCAAGGGAUCAAUGACUUUCACGGAAGUCCCGCCUCUGCGGUACCAUGGCGUUGCCAUGCCCAUGGCCCUACUAUCCGUCACCUCGCAUCUG